UGCGCGUGAUAGUAAACGUCCGCGUUAAAGAUGGCGACCGUAGCAAGGUUAUUACGACAAGUGUCUUCGUUCUCUCGGCAUUUUCGUGGUGUCACUCAUUCGUACGUCUCGUGGCGUGGUGCUAGUGAUGUGAAAAAAUGGAGAACCGGUGCCGGGGUGAUCGCAGCAGCUUCCAUUGCGCUUCUCGUUGGAUACAAAUACUCGAGACCCAACGUGGUGCACGCCUUGAAGUCACGAAAGCGCGAAGAUGAAACACAAAAGGCAGUGAAGCUAACGAUGAGAGAAAGAAGAUUUAUCAAAUUUGCAUCGGUUGAAUUCGAUGGGCAACUCUACAUGACGCCGCAGGACUUCCUCGACAGUGUUGUUGAACCCGAACCCAGACCGAGGCUGAAGAGACGCGUGUUAGCUGAGAAGGAGCUCGAUGUGAUGAGAAACAGUGUCCCUUCACUGCGUCAAGGAAGUCCACAUAUGUUCAGAAACCUUCGGGACAAAGGGAUCAUUUCUUACACGGAAUAUUUGUUUCUCUUAUCCAUUCUAAUCAAACCCAAGACAGGUUUCCGUAUCGCGUUUAACAUGUUCGACACUGACGGAAACGAGCGCGUGGACAAAACCGAAUUUCUUGUGAUUCGACAGCUGCUCGGCGGAGCCCUGAAGAGACGGCAUAUCGACGAUGAAACGAAACGUCUAUUGAAAAUCAUAAUGGAUCCGUAUGAAAGUUCCAUUAAAAAACCAAAGCUACGUGGCAACCAACGGGAAAACAAGAAAAUGGAGAUUGUUUCUAAUUCUUAUAUGGAGAAAGUCUUUAGUCACGCUUGGAGGGGUCGUCAUGGAACCGAGACAAAAGAAAACACGCAGCUUUUAACUCAAAGGCAAACAACACCGGAAGAGAUCCAAGUCCAAUACAUCGACGACGAUCAGGUCCGUUUUAAGCGGCCGUUCAUUGAAUACGGUUUGCAACGUCGACACGCUGUCGACACAACAUUAACGGUACACUUCUUCGGGAAGGAUGGUAACAACGAGCUGAAGUACGAAGAAUUCAAGUGUUUCAUGGAAAAUUUGCAGCAGGAAGUUCUGGAACUUGAAUUCCACGAAUUUAGCAAAGGACGCGAUACCAUUUCAGAACUGGACUUCGCUAAAAUAUUGUUGCGGUACACCUACCUAAAUAUCGACGAGUACGACAAGUAUUUGGAAAGGAUAGUUCAAAACUCGGAAUAUCAGACCGGUAUCAUGUUCGAGGAAUUUCGACGUUUUUAUCAAUUUCUGAAUAAUAUCGAUGACUUUGCAAUUGCUAUGCGAAUGUACACUCUUGCCGACCAACCGAUAUCCAAAGACGAGUUCCAACGUGCUGUGAAAAUAUGUACGGGAAACGUACUCUCGAAUCAUAUCAUUGACACAGUCUUUGUACUGUUUGACGAAGAUGGCGAUGGCCAGUUAUCGUACAAGGAGUUCAUCGCGAUAAUGAAAGAUCGGCUACACAGAGGAUUCAAGGUACUACUCGAGGAACUAGUUUAUUUUUCUUCUGAACGUGUCAUGGACGAUACCAGGUACCCCUGGUAGACUGCAACCGGCGCAGGACUACUUCAGUGCAUAGCUGGUCAUCAUUAUCCAGGAAACUUAAUAGCAGAGAUGGAUUGUUCCAUUUGCGCACUGAAUUUUAAAGUUUUUACAAUGAUACCAUAAACAAAGUUUGAAAAUGCAAAAUAAUCUAAUCAGAAUUUUAUCGUGGUCAAUGAAACAGUUACUCUUUCUAAUAAGUCGCAACAACGACAAGAGGGCUGGCAAGCGUUCACUUACUGUGUGAAGCAAGAGAUGAAGGCUCGUUAAUUGACAGUAAACGAGUGAGAAGAACCUCAAAGAAAAUGCAAAUAUAAGUGCCAGUGGGACUCUAGUCCAAUUUCAAGUCCUAGUCUCUUUGCUCUAAUUUCAUUGUGAUACAAACAGUUACCAUUAUAUACAACGUAUAAUUCUAGAUCUCUACCGCCAGUUAAUGUUCAUUCGUUUUAUUGCCUUUUGCUAAGUAGGGUAAAAACACCGGUAGUGGAUACCUCAAGACUUCUUUCCUCGAAACAAUUACCAUAUAUCCUUUUGCUUCUAUUUUAAAGUACCAUACCAAAUCGCUGAACCAGUCAGUGACUUGUUUAUAACCUCUCGUGAUUAAGAUUAUGUAAAAAUAUGAUAGAAUAUAGCGUAUCAUUUGUUUUGGAACGUAAACAUUGAUUCAGCAGUCGUGAUAUUAAAAAACCUAAACUUCCAGUAGUCAGCACUUUUUUUUCCAGCACUGGAUACUUCGGGAAAGCGUUAAGACAAUAGACAACGUUGUAUGAUUUUUGUAGAACGAACUCCUUAAUUUUAAGAAUAGAAUUAAGAAGAUAUCUUGUUUAAAAACAUCGGCACGUGAAAGUAUUAAGGAAAUAAGGUACCGUUUUUUUACAUUGUACAAUAUUUACAGAUAGAGUCAGGACCCUGACAGUAGAAAAUAUCAGCUAGAAAAGAUUGUAUUCUGUAAUAUCACUAGUAGUAGCAAUUAUUACAUAUUUUUUACAAAAAGUUAUCCACUACCGACGCACUGUCAAUUACUGGUGCAUUACUUUACCCAUUUAUUACGCUAACUUUUAUGUAAGUUAUACGACGAACUAGUCUCAACAAACGGAUAUUAAUAUCGAAGCCAUGGAUCUUGCCAUUUUGCUAAGAGUUAUCUAAGAGUCUAUCACUUUAUUAAUAAUGUAAAAAGAAAUGUUUAUUCAAUGUUAUAUAAAAUGUAUUUUUGCUUGAAAUAAAAGUUACGAUAAUAAAGGAUCUUAUAUACUGAAAUAUAAAAUAUAAAACUGAAACUUUUUCCU